rnacentral:rRNA from 1 species
GGGGGAUAUUGCACAAUGGAGGAAACUCUGAUGCAGCAACGCCGCGUGAGGGAAGAAGGUCUUCGGAUUGUAAACCUUUGUCCUUGGUGACGAAACAAAUGACGGUACCAGAGGAGGAAGCCACGGCUAACUACGUGCCAGCAGCCGCGGUAAUACGUAGGUGGCAAGCGUUGUCCGGAUUUACUGGGUGUAAAGGGUGCGUAGGCGGCUCUGCAAGUCAGGCGUGAAAACUAUGGGCUUAACCCAUAGACUGCGUUUGAAACUGUGGGGCUUGAGUGAAGUAGAGGUAGGCGGAAUUCCCGGUGUAGCGGUGAAAUGCGUAGAGAUCGGGAGGAACACCAGUGGCGAAGGCGGCCUACUGGGCUUUAACUGACGCUGAAGCACGAAAGCAUGGGUAGCAAAC